rnacentral:rRNA from 1 species
UACGAGGGGGGCAAAUGUUGUUCGGAAUCACUGGGCGUAAAGGGAGCGUAGGUGGGUGUUUAAGUUAGGUGUUUAAUCCUGGGGCCCAACCCCAGUCGUGCACCUAAAACUGGACAUCUUGAAUAGUGGAGAGGUCAGUGGAAUUGGGGGUGUAGCGGUGGAAUGCGUAGAGAUCCCCAAGAACACCAGUUGCGAAGGCGGCUGACUGGACACAUAUUGACGCUGAGGCUCGAAAGCAUGGGGAGCAAACAGG